UUCUACAUCCUCCAUCGUUUGAGGCUUACGUUGCCCUGAUUCCUUCUUCAUAUCCUAUGUUUCUUAAUCGUUUCGUUGUUUUUUUCGUUAUCUUUUAAUGUUUCAAACAUGUUUUUCCAACUUUGUUAUCGAAUAUUUGCUCAAUGAUGAUUAAUUUUGCUUUAACCACACCGAAGUGAGGCCGAUGUGUUUGAACUUGAUUGGAUUUACUAUAAAAGUUCUGAUUCCACUUCAAACUGGAAUCUGUUUAACUUUUUGGUCAAAUCCAAUUGAAGAUCAUGAACACAUGUAGCUUCUCAUGUGGAAAACCCUGGCCUUUGUCUGAGAGCAAAUAUAUAUUAUAUAAAUUAUUAUUAUGAGCCGGUGAUGAUAACCUUUUAAGGCUUGUUUCUCAGAGACAUUCGCAGUGGCCGCCUAAGAUCUUUCGCCUUUCGCCGGGCUUGAGAGAUUAUGCUGUUUAUUCCUUCCUUGGAUGUCUGAGGCUCAUUUGUUUUUUAAUAGGGUUAAUAAAUGUUGAUUUAAUAAUAUAGUUUUGGUUUAAUUAGUAUGGAAGAUUGUUUGUUAAUGAUGAUAAUCCAAAGGCUUGUUUCUCAGAGACAUUCGCAGUGGCCGCCUAAGAACUUUCGCCUUCGCCAGGCUUGAGAGUUUAUGCUGCUUUAACCUUCCUUGGAUGUCUGAAACACUUAAUUUUUUGUUUUUUUGUUUAGUUCUUGUAUGCUCUUUUUAUAGCUUGGAUAUAUGGGUUAUUCAGGUUUUAUUUAGUUUUGGUUUACAUUUUUUUUAUUUUUUUAAAUGAACAGUUCUAUUGUUUUGCAAAUGCAUUCAUUUUGCAAUUAUUUUAAUUGUAACCGAAGUGAUUCUGUUUGUAAUAGGUGGAUUUUGAUUUAGCUUUUUUAGGUUAAAACUUAUAUUCUGUUUAAGGUGAGAGGAUGCGCCAAGAAAAAGCGUUGAUAAGUUUAGAGGAUAAUGAAGAUUAUAUGUUUACUGAUAAUCGAAAUUCGUUCUUAAAUGUUCUCAUUUCAGCCAGUUGCCCAACUUAUCAGAGAGAUUGUUGAUGUGUCAGGUAGCACAACUGGCUGAAAUGAGAACAUUCAAAAAUGGAUUUUCUGUUGCUUGGUUCUAAUAUACAAGAACCAAGCUGGGUAAAGAUAUAUCUACUGUUGGAUUACAGUUACAACUCGUGGCCGCAACAGUGGUGCAGGUGUUGUAUAACCCCCAAUUCGAAUUUAAAGGUGGUUGCAGUCUGUGGUGGCAGGUAAUGAGGAAGGUGGCAAAUGGUAAUUGCCGCAGUUAGUGGUAGGUGGUGAAUCAGCGGUUGAUGGAGGUGGAGGUGGGGUGGUGUCAGGUUGUAAUGGAGGGAGAGAUGGGUGGAAAAGACCAAAUUUAACUGGGUUAAGCUUAAAGGACAAAAUGUACAUAAAGGACAAAGCUCGUCAUCUUUGAAAUUCACUCAAAAUUUAAUAAUCAGUUUAGGUUUUAUAAAAGUUAUUUGUGGCCUAGUGGUGAAAGACAUGGGUUCAUUGGUAGAAGAGACCUAAGUUUGUUCCCCACUUGUCACUUUUGAUGGUUACUAGUUCGAAUCCUCAGCUUACUUGGGUUUUUGGCUCUUUGUUUGUUAAAGUUUUGAGGUCUACUAUUGCGGUGCUAAAAAGACCGUCAAGUGAGAAACGGCGUUAUGAUUUCUUGAUGAAAUGCCCAAGCCAAAUUUCAAAGCUAGCGUCUGGUAAAAUGACAGAGUCCGAUUAGAACGAGGCAUUUAGGCUCUUCAGGAGUGUAGUGCCCAAGAAAGACGUCGUUUCAAAAAAAAACAUUCAAUUAGAAAACAUUAACUAACAUACAAUAAUUCUUUGUUUUCGUUUAAUUUUUGCUCUUGUGUUGUUUUUGCCUAUGUUCAUGUGUUACACUCAUUUGUCUUUCGUCUGUAACUACUAAUCUUGGUUUUAGGCUCAAAACCCUAUGAAAUGUAAGUAAUGAAACUUUCAUCGUU